rnacentral:lncRNA from 1 species
GUUAAUGUAUGUACACGUUAUAAACACUGUGUCAGUUUACGAUGGCAGCAACGGAAGUUGUUACAAAGAAAGUGACUGCGGGGUGGCUGGAGCUCAGCCGCCCCCCCAUUGAGAAGAUUCGUCGUCCUGAGAAGUCGCGUGCUGGAGGUGGACAGCGAGGCCAGGAUGGAGCCGCCGAUCCACACCGAGUAUUUGCGCUCCGGCGGGGCGAUGA